AUAAAAUCAUAAGAAAUGUUUUCUGGUGGUGUGUAGCAGUUAACCACAUUUAAGUAAAAAUAUUUUAAAUGAUUGUUACCAGAGCUGAAUUACAUUCAGGCUUGUGGAGAACAGCUUUUUUUUAUCUACUCUGUGGCUGGCCAAUGUAAAUAAGCAAUGAUUUCAUGAAUGCAGCGAGAGAGUUUAUUUGAUGUAUUUUAAAAUCACUGAUAAUAUUUAUUGAUGUAUUUUAAAAUCACUGAUAAUAUUUAUUGAUGUAUUUUAAAAUUACUGAUAAUAUUUGUUUUGUGGCUGGAAGAUGGUAACCAUGGUGACUUGUGAAUUUUUAUGAAGAUUAAUAAAAAGCAGUAAAAAAUUAUUAAUGGUUGUCAGAAGGAAUUUUUUUUUCAAUGAUCAAUCAAUCAUCUACAUUCUACAGUAACAAUUUUCCUUAACUCAAAUAAUAUUUCAAUACAUAUCUUAUAAAGUAUUCAUAUAUGUACAAUAUAGACCAAUUUUGAGCUAGUCUGAUAUCAGUAUAUUAGUUAUUAUGAACAUAUACUAUCAGAACUACCAUUUGCAUAUAGUGCACGUACAUACAUAACACUAGCCAACAACCAUUAAAAAAAACACUACUAUAUACACUUACAUAAAAAAAAACAUAGACAAGUACAGAUUAUUCACUAUUAUAUUCUAGAGCCAAUUCCAAAAGUGUAUUAUCAAUAAAAGAAAAUAAUUUUUUUUUAAAGAACAAUAUUUCAAUAUGAAGGAAAAUCUGUAUUCUGAAGUUCUUGUAUAUGUUUGGUACCAAUCAAUGUAAAUUAAUCAAUCUUUGAUAAAAAAAAAUCCCGAAAA